rnacentral:lncRNA from 1 species
GAAGAGGCCAUGAUCCAAAGGAGCCAGAGCAGCUAAAAAAAACUGUUUAUUGGUGGUCUGAGCUUUGAAACUAGAGAUGGUAGUUUUAGAGAACAUUUUAAGAAAUGGAGCACACUCACAGGUUGUGUGGUAAUCAGAGACCCCCAAACAAAAUGUUCCACAAACUCUGGUUUUGUGACUUACUCUUGUGUUGAAGAGGUGGAUGCAGCAAUGUGUGCUCAACCACACAAGGCUGAGGAGUGCAAUGGAACCAAAGACAGCUGUUUCUAGAGAGAGUUCUGUAAAGCCCAGUGCCCAUCCAACAGUGAAGAAAAUUUUUGUUGGUGAUGUUAAAGAAGAUACAGAAGAACAUAAUUUGAGAGACUACUUUGAAAAGUAUCGCAAGAUUGAAACCACAGAAGUUACAGGAGGACUGGCAGAGUGGAAAAAAGAGAGGAUUUGCUUUUGUAACUUUUGAUGAUCAUGAUAAAAUUGUGGUUCAGAAAUAACACUCUAUUAACAGGCGUUAGUGAAGUGAAAAGGGCCCUUUUUAAACAACAGAUGCAGUUGUGGAGUGGAUCUAGCAACUUUAUGGGUUGUGGAGGAAACUUUGGAGAUGGUAGUUUUGGCCAUGGGUAGAAACUCUGGUGGAAGAGGAGGAUAUGGUGCUGGGGUGGUGGCAGCAGAAGUAGUUAUGGAGGAGGGGUUGCUGGAUAUAAUGGAUUUGAAGGUGAUGGUGGCAACUACCGCAGUUGUCCUGGUUUUGAUAGUAGAGGCGGGUAUGGUGGUGGUAGAUAUGGUGGCAGCAGUGGAGGAUAUGAUGGUUACAAUGAAGAAGGUAAUUUGGGGAGUGGUAAUUACGGUGGUGGUGGGAACUAUAAUGAUUUUGGAUAUUACAGUGGACAAUGACAACCAAAUUAUGGACCCAUGCAUGAAAGGGGGCAGUUUUGGUGGAUAAAGCUUGGGCAGUCUCUAUGGUGGUAAAUAUGGUAGCACAAGG